rnacentral:rRNA from 1 species
AGUGAACGCUGGCGGUAGGCCUAACACAUGCAAGUCGAACGGCAGCACAGUAAGAGCUUGCUCUUACGGGUGGCGAGUGGCGGACGGGUGAGGAAUACAUCGGAAUCUACUUUUUCGUGGGGGAUAACGUAGGGAAACUUACGCUAAUACCGCAUACGACCUACGGGUGAAAGCAGGGGAUCUUCGGACCUUGCGCGAUUGAAUGAGACGAUGUCGGAUUAGCUAGUUGGCGGGGUAAAGGCCCACCAAGGCGACGAUCCGUAGCUGGUCUGAGAGGAUGAUCAGCCACACUGGAACUGAGACACGGUCCAGACUCCUACGGGAGGCAGCAGUGGGGAAUUUUGGACAAUGGGCGCAAGCCUGAUCCAGCCAUGCCGCGUGUGUGAAGAAGGCCUUCGGGUUGUAAAGCCCUUUUGUUGGGAAAGAAAAGCAGCAGGUUAAUACCCCGCUGUCCUGACGGUACCCAAAGAAUAAGCACCGGCUAACUUCGUG